GCUGGGCAUGGUGGUGCAUGCCUGUAAUCCCAGCAGCUUGGGAGGUUGAGAUAGGAUGAUCUUGAGUUCAAAGCCAGCCUCAGUCAAAGCAAGGAGCUAAGCAAUUCAGUGAGACCCUGUCUCUA
rnacentral:sRNA from 1 species